CAUGAGAAAGAAAGGCAGUAGCGGCCUGCGACAUCGGUGUUUCUUUGUGACAGUGUGUUUACUAUGCCUACGACGGCGGUCAUUCGUGGCCAACGAGAAAACAUCUUCCAUUCGGCCUGACCAGUGAUGAAGUGGACUUUUUUUUUCGGCGGAAUCCAUCGUCAACAUCGUCCAUCCACUACGUAAACGAAAUGGCGUGCCCAGAGUAUACAUCGUGACAGCGCUCCGCCUUCAAACCGAGGGCCUUUUGCAAGGCGCAUGGACGGCUCAUAUAAAAGUUAGUCAGCAUGAAGCAAUUGCAUGGGAACCGGCCGAUUGUCUUGGGCCUACACAUUGCUCAAAAGACAGUGAAGGUGUCUGAGCCGACAGGUAGAAAACAAGCAGAUGGCUACAGCGAUCAAUGAAGAAAUGGCUUCAUCUAUGAUGGCUCGCCUUAGGACAUUGGAAUGGAGCUACACAAAGGCAUCACCAGCCUCGCCUGUGCAUUGGAACAUUGGUUUGAAUAAGACUGUUCUUCAGUGUAGAACGACCACAAGACUUGUCACCACAUACAAGGCGUAGUGCAAGCUCUAAAUAUUGUACAGGUGGCUAGAAUAAAUGACCCUCCAUGCAGUCA
rnacentral:lncRNA from 1 species